UACGUAGGGUGCAAGCGUUAAUCGGAAUUACUGGGCGUAAAGCGUGCGCAGGCGGUUAUGCAAGGAAGAUGUGAAAUCCCCGGGCUCAACCUGGGAACUGCAUUUGUGACUGCAUAGCUAGAGUGCGGCAGAGGGAGAUGGAAUUCCGCGUGUAGCAGUGAAAUGCGUAGAUAUGCGGAGGAACACCGAUGGCGAAGGCAAUCUCCUGGGCCUGCACUGACGCUCAUGCACGAAAGCGUGGGGAGCAAACAGG
rnacentral:rRNA from 1 species